AGGGCUACAUAAGUUAACAUUGAUUGAUUGAUUGUUAACUGUUUCUAGGACACACACUCCUUGAGUUUCAGGUAUCAGUGCGUGCUUAGAUCAGCCAAAUCCUGGCAGGAAAACAUCAUUUGUCACCUCAAAUAAGUUAUCGGGUUCCAGAUUUGGUUUUAGUACCUUUGAUGACCGGGACUCCAUCUCUGUCUGUGACCACGAUGGCGUGAAUGCCUUCAACACUGCGCAAGAGCAGAAAGUCCAUUAUUCAUACAGGAACUUCUGUAAUCUUGGACAAAGCAAAACAGAUGGCACUUGACAAGUUCUUCAUACGCACCUUUGUAAUUGUUUGAACAGGUACUUCUUUAGGUCCUGGAAAAAGAAAAAGAUGAAUGUUUACAAAAGUGUCAAAAACCAGAAUCUGUCUUAAAAAUAAAGUACUAUUAUAAUGUAAAUAUUGUGACGAUUUUAGAGACAUCUAAAAACUUUGGAUUUUGAAUCAAUGGUCAUUUUUCGGUUAGUGUAUUUUUGGGACCCCAGGGCGCACUGUUUCAUCUGACAUCACAUGGACGAAGGUGAAACUUUACUAUGGAUCACAUCGAACAUGGAUCCCGACCGAAUGUCAACCAGCAGGUUUCGCUGCCGUCAACUCCCCUGAGACACUGGCGUCAAGACACCCGUGGAGACACACCUCCGACUAUCAGCGGUCACAGGGGAUGCUGGAGCCUAUCUCAGCUGCAUUCGGGCGGAAGGCGGUGUACACCCUGGACAGGUCACCACCUCAUCACACGGCGGUUUCAAAAUAAAGUAUCUAUUUUA